rnacentral:misc_RNA from 1 species
GGACUACCGGGGUUUCUAAUCCUGUUUGCUACCCACGCUUUCGCGCCUGAGCGUCAGUAUCGGACCAAGAGACCGCCUUCGCAACUGGUGUUCUUCCAGAUAUCUACGUAUUUCACCACUACACCUGGAAUUCCGUCUCUCUCUUCCGUACUCAAGAUUUACAGUAUCAAAGGCACUUUCACGGUUAAGCCGUGAGAUUUCACCUCUGACUUGCAAACCCACCUGCGCGCCCUUUACACCCAGUAAAUCCGGACAACGCUUGCCCCCUACGUAUUACCGCGGCUGCUGGCACC